GAUGAACGCUGGCGGCGUGCCUAAUACAUGCAAGUAGAACGCACAGAUUAUACGGUUGCUUGCUAGACGAUAGCCGCUGAGUUGUGAACGAGUCAGUGACGCCUAGGUAACCUGCCUGGGAGCAGGUGGUAACUCUUGAAAAAAAUAGCUAAUACCGCAUAAUAUUAAUUAUUGCAUGAUAAUUAAUGGAAAGGUGCAAUUGCAUCACUACAAGAUGGCCCUACGUUGUAUUAGCUAGUAGGUGAGGUAACGGCUCACCUAGGCGAAGGUACAUAGCCGACCCGUGAGGGGGGUCGGCCACACUGGGAAUGGGACACGGGCCAGACUCCCACAGGGGGCAGCAGUAGGGGAUCUUUGGCAAUGGGCGAAAGUCCGACCGGGCAACGCCGCGUGAGUGAAGAAAGGUUUCGGAUCGGAAAAAUCUGUUUUAUGAGGAGAAAGGAUGUGAGAGUGGAAAGUUCACAGUGUGACGGUAUCUAACCAGAAAGCCACGGCUAACUACGUG
rnacentral:rRNA from 1 species